GGCUUUGUAGUGUAGUGGUUAUCACUUGAGAUUUUGACGGUUCACCGUCACAUGAUUCCCAUCUUCUCAAAACCCAGGUUCGAACCCUGGCAAGGCCU